AAUUCGAUUGAGUUUGAUCCUGGCUCAGGAUGAACGCUGGCGGUAUGCUUAACACAUGCAAGUCGAACGGGGAUCUUCGGAUUCUAGUGGCGGACGGGUGAGUAACGCGUGAGAAUCUGCCUUUAGGACGGGAACAACAACUGGAAACGGUUGCUAAAGCCCGAUGUGCCCUUCGGGGUGAAAAUAUUUAUAGCCUGAAGAUGAGCUCGCGUCCGAUUAGCUAGUUGGUGGAGUAAAGGUUUACCAAGGCGACGAUCGGUAACUGGUCUGAGAGGAUGACCAGUCACACUGGGACUGAGACACGGCCCAGACUCCUACGGGAGGCAGCAGUGGGGAAUUUUCCGCAAUGGGCGAAAGCCUGACGGAGCAAUACCGCGUGAGGGAGGAAGGCUCUUGGGUCGUAAACCUCUUUUAUCAGGGAAGAAAAAAAUGACGGUACCUGAUGAAUCAGCAUCGGCUAACUCCGUGCCAGCAGCCGCGGUAAUACGGAGGAUGCAAGCGUUAUCCGGAAUUAUUGGGCGUAAAGCGUCCGCAGGUGGUUUUGAAAGUUUGCUGUCAAAGCGCGGAGCUCAACUUCGUACCGGCAGUGAAAACUACGAGACUAGAGUUUGGUAGGGGUCACGGGAAUUCCCAGUGUAGCGGUGAAAUGCGUAGAGAUUGGGAAGAACACCAGCGGCGAAAGCGCGUGACUGGGCCUGAACUGACACUCAUGG
rnacentral:rRNA from 1 species